GCUAUCUUAGCUCAAUUGGUAGAGCAGCUGAUUUGUAAUCAGCAGGUUAUGUGUUCGAGUCACAUAGGUAGCU
rnacentral:tRNA from 1 species